UUUGAGGGCUUCUUCUCUUUUCUUUACUUAUUUACAUUUGCUAUAUUUGCUUAUUUGAGAAGCUUGUAUUUGAUUUAAACUCAUAUUCUAAUAUCUUGUAACUUGAUUCAAUCAAGGGAUUGAAUCAAGGGGUUAAGGUUUGUUGGUGAGCCUUUGGGGAAAAACCAACCGGGUUGAUUGUGAACCCGGAAAACAAUCGUUGUAAGGUUGUGGUUGGUGAACCUUUGGGGAAAACCAACCGGGUUGAUUGUGAACCCGGAAAACAAUCAUUGUAAGGUUGUGNN
rnacentral:lncRNA from 1 species